ensembl:lncRNA
AAACGGGGGGCGCGGCGGCUGCACUGGAGUGAACUGGCCUGGUCCGCUCGCCGGCCGUGCGCGCUGCCUUCGGGUCCACUGCUGUGUAUCCGCACCCGGAAACCGUCCAGGGGAGUAGAACCCCUGGAUACGUUGCUCAUUUGCCUUUCUGAGAUCUCAGUUCCGGAGAGCAGGAUCUGACUUUAUCUCAGACCGAGCCCCAGUUGGCACGCUUUAUUCACUGUUAAAGGAGAGAGGUCUUUUCAUUCUCCUUCGCCAUCAGAGUGUGGAAAGUCCUGCAUGUAUAUAUGUCCAUUAUUCUCACCAUAUUCUCUUCAUGGCCAGAAAAAUUGCCACAGACGAACAGGCCCUUAAUAGAUGUUUGAAGUUACUGACAAAUCCGGGCAAGUAUUCGUUUGUCAGGAAUUAUUUUAAGUGAAAUCUUCUUGGAGGAUAGUUAUUUUGUAGCUGUUUUUUCUAGACUUCUCCCCUUUUCCCGAGGAAUCCUCUAGGUGGUCAGGAACUGUAAAUCCUUGUCAAUGUUUAUUAAAAUCCCCAUUGUUUGUAGGACAUUAUCUGAUGCAAAAGUACAUUCUGACGGAAUGUCAUUAGCUCACUGCAAAAAAGCAACUGUUAAGCAGGUGACCCAAAUGGCUUUCUAAUUUUCUGUAAAGUAUGUGAAACAAUGAAUCUUAAUAUAGUUUAUGCACAAACCACUGAUGCUUAAUGGAUCCACAUUUUCACUCAUAUUUUAUUAAAAUCUUUUGCCUUGAGCUGCAAUUAGGUAACUAACUGUAAAUUGGUCAGAGAGUCAGAAACAUAAGAGCCAGGUAACUGAAGUAAUUGAGCAAAAUGAGGUCAUUUUUCCUCCAGCACCAGAUGGGUACCACAGGUGGGAACUAUAACACUUGAUCUCUUCCAUAUGACUCAGAAAGAAAAUUAGAGAUUAAUGUUAUUUGCUUCAGCUUUUAAAUAAAAUAUUUUAUAGUGAAAGUUUUUGUUAAACA